UGUGGAUUGGGCUUGGCUGGGUUAUUUUACCCUAUGUUAACAUCCCUAAUCAAGACUCACCUUCAUUUGGGUGAGAAUUUGAGAUGAGUUUUUAAAAAUUCAAUUGGAUGAUCCAUCUGGAUGUAGCAUUAUAAUAAACAAAACAAACAUUGAUUUGCAUCUUCACCCAGAUGGAUCAUCUGGGUGAGCAAACGAACAUGGCCUUAGUAACAAAGCUGUAAAGCUCAUCCAUCUGAGCAUCUCAUUUCCACGUAAACCGGCAUGCUAGCUACUUUUCUUUUUUAUUCACGAACCACUGCAAUAAAUACGAGUAGUGGUAUCAGUUGGCAGUAGCAUGAAACCACCAAAUGCUACCAAAAAUACCAAAAACGGAUCACAACUCUAAGGUAGCAUUAAAUUCGCGCUAAGAUAGAAUUUCAUUAAGUGUUAACGAGAACAUCGAAUUCGGAGAAGAGUCAGAUAAAGAUCUGUCCAGAUUCGAUUGACUUCCUCAGAUUCUCAUUUUAAUCUCGAUUGAAGUUUCACCACCACACUCCUUUUGACAUUGUAGCUCGUUACCACCACCACCAUCUCUCGUCAAAUUUUCAUGUGCUUGCUCAGUUCGUCGCGAAUCUUGCCAGUAGUUAACCAACGAAGAAUCACUCUCUCCACCACCAAUGGCGUUGAUGCUGGCUCGCAGGUGACUAAAUACUAUUUGUUCUCACCAUCGCGUAUGAAUCUCGUUUGCUCUUGUGCUUUUGUUUUGGGAAUCAAGGAUCACUCCCUGUCUCUUCGGGAUUGAAACUGUCCAUUUGAUGCUCAUUUGACAAGAGCUUUUCAGGCUCUAGAGAGUGACCUUUUGUGGUUGGUCCUUUCGGUCAUCUUGUUGCUUGAGUGAUAGAUACAUUGCCUGUGAAGUUGCAGUCUUCUUUCAUGUCUGAGAUACAUUGAAAGUUUAACUAUGGUAAUUCUCUACCUGUCCUUAGACAUUGUACAGAAUAUUGGUAAUCAUAAAGAGGAUUGUUUGGUCAUUUGCUGGAGUUCGUUUGGUAUUUUGCUUUACAUAUGUGUUCUCAUCUGUAGUUAAGAAUAGGUUUAUUGCUGGAAUGAUUUGUAACUUAUCAAUAUAAUGUCUUUUGGAUCGUAACUAAGAGGGAUGAAAUGAAUUGUUUGAUGAUAUAUCUAUAGCUUAGUCACUAAUUUUUCUGCUUAAAAGCCUAUGAUGGAUAAAGUUGCUUUGCUGGUUUUUGCUUUUUUCACAGAGCUGUGUAGAGUUAGCAAAGACCAGAGGAAGAUAGAUGUACAUCGUCUUGCCUCCAAUCACUUUGUUUAAGAUCCUACUUUGUAUUAGUUCAUCAAACUAUGGUGAUGAUGAAGUGUUGAUGUUGAUAACGUAAAGAGUAUAAUGAUGAUGAUUCGAUGCAGAUCUUUCUGUGGUGGGGACAACAGACUCAGAGUGGAUCUUCUUCUGUCCAUUGGACCGGAAGUAUCCGAGUGGAAAUAGGAUGAAUCGAGCCACUGUUGCUGGCUACUGGAAGGUCGCUGAAAAGACCGUAAGGUUAAGUCAGGGAGCACUAAGAUCAUAGCUGUUAUUGGUUACUUUAUUCUUUGACUGCAGUUUGGUGAGUUAGUUACUUGCAUCGGAGGAGCUUUGUUUCUAUUAGUAGACAGCACCUCCAUCUUAGUCAACUGUCUUUUGUUUUGAGUUGAUAUUUUCUUGUAUUGACUUUGUAUGUUUUAAAUUUUAAUGGAAAAUUACAUGCUAUUUUAUGA